UUCCGGUUGAUCCUGCCGGACCCCACUGCUAUCGAGAUGGGACUAAGGUAUGCUAGUCGAACGACCAGAACUAUGUCUGGAAGUGGCACACUGCUCAGUAACACGUAGCUAACUACCCUUAGGACGUGGAUACCCCCGAGAAAUUGGGGUUAAUCCGCGAUAGGUGUAAUGUCCUGGAAUGGUAUUACGCCUAAAGGUGUAUCAUACAUGUUUGAUAUACGCCUAAGGAUGGGGCUGCGGCCGAUCAGGCUGUUGGUGAGGUAAUGGCUCACCAAACCUUUGACCGGUACGGGCCAUGAGAGUGGUAGCCCGGAGAUGGACACUGAGACAAGGGUCCAGGCCCUAAGGGGCGCAGCAACCGCGAAACCUCCACAAUGCACUCACGUGCGAUGGGGCUAUCUCGAGUGCCACCUGAUGAAGGUGGCUUUUCCUAGGUCUUCAAAGCCUUGGGAAUAAGAGGGGGGCAAGACUGGUGUCAGCCGCCGCGGUAACACCAGCCCCUCGAGUGGUGGGGAUGAUUAUUUGGCCUAAAGCGUCCGUAGCCGGCCGAGCAAGUCUUCCGUUAAAUCCAGCGUCUCAAGCGUUGGACCGCGGGAGAUACUACAUGGCUAGAGAGUGGGAGAGGUCAGCGGUAUUCUGGGGGUAGGGGCGAAAUCCUUUGAUCCCCGGAGGACCACCAGUGGCGAAGGCUGCUGACUAGAACACGUCUGACGGUCAGGGACGAAAGCUGGGGUAGCGAACCGGAUUAGAUACCCGGGUAGUCCCAGCCGUAAACGAUGCAUGCUAGGUGUUGGGUUGGCCACGAGCCACCCCAGUGCCGCAGGGAAGCCGUUAAGCAUGCCGCCUGGGAAGUACGAUCGCAAGAUUGAAACUUAA
rnacentral:rRNA from 1 species